UACGUAGGGGGCAAGCGUUGUCCGGAAUUAUUGGGCGUAAAGAGCGCGUAGGCGGUCCGGUAAGUCGGUUGUGAAAUCCUGGAGCUCAACUCCAGAACUGCCUUUGAUACUGAAGAUCUUGAGUUCCGGGAGAGGUGAGUGGAACUGCGAGUGUAGAGGUGAAAUUCGUAGAUAUUCGCAAGAACACCAGUGGCGAAGGCGGCUCACUGGCCCGAUACUGACGCUGAGGCACGAAGCGUGGGGAGCAACAGG
rnacentral:rRNA from 1 species